rnacentral:rRNA from 1 species
GUAGGUCUUAGUGAUCCGGUGGUUCUGUAUGGAAGGGCCAUCGCUCAACGGAUAAAAGGUACUCCGGGGAUAACAGGCUGAUACCGCCCAAGAGUUCAUAUCGACGGCGGUGUUUGGCACCUCGAUGUCGGCUCAUCACAUCCUGGGGCUGAAGCCGGUCCCAAGGGUAUGGCUGUUCGCCAUUUAAAGUGGUACGCGAGCUGGGUUUAGAACGUCGUGAGACAGUUCGGUCCCUAUCUGCCGUGGACGUUUGAGAUUUGAGAGGGGCUGCUCCUAGUACGAGAGGACCGGAGUGGACGAACCUCUGGUGUUCCGGUUGUCACGCCAGUGGCAUUGCCGGGUAGCUAUGUUCGGAAGAGAUAACCGCUGAAAGCAUCUAAGCGGGAAACUUGCCUCAAGAUGAGAUCUCACUGGGAUC